UCUUCUUUUUUUAUUGUCGGUUGUGCUUUAGCUCUGCAUAAGAGCAGUAACAUUCCAGUAAUCUGUGUGCUUGCAAUUAUAAAAUUCCAGUCGUAUAUUUUCCUGCCUUUCCAUAUUUUCUCAGUUUGCUUUUGAUUUGUUUUUCCAUACAACUACAUAUGAGGUAAAAGUUUCUUUGACUCUUUGCAGGACUCAUGGCCAUGCAGUAGAAUCAAUGUUACUAUCUCCAUCAGUAGCUUUCAACAGUAGAAAUUUCAAGCUGGUCGCCCCUUUCUCGGGUUAAUUGUCUCACGACAGGUUGUGUUUUUAAAAAUAAGUACUAAUACUUUCACGUGAUUACAUUACACCUUAUGUGCGAAUUUCAGAAUUGUCCAUGACACUAUACUUGAUAAAUCUCAGAAACGGGAAGUUCAAUCCAAUACUAAAUGCUACACCUACUUGGAACAUAAAAUAUACUAAAUGUCACAGCUACUUGUAACAUGGGCGACUCCAUUCAAUCUUCAAUUUUGUUUAUGAUCUCCACUAAAUUUAUUUUCUUUUCAGCUUUCCAGAGAGUUCAGGUUGUACUCUUACUCCAGAAUCAUAGAAGAUGAUAUCAUGUCUGGCCCUGCAAAUUAGUUAAAUGAGAUAUAAAGCAAGGAAAAAGUGGAUCAGACGGGGGAAGGUCACUGUUUUGGUAGUGAUUAUGAUUAGUGAAAAAACGUGUGCAUCUUCAUCUGUCAACUAGAUUUUCGCCUAACUCAAAUUUGACAUAUUUCUUUUAUAUCUAGUUACUGAGUUAUCAAAAAAAAUUCUUGAUUGCUUUGAAGAGAAUCUCAUUCAUGACCUCCCAAUUUGAUGUUUGCAUAUUUCAUUAGAAAAAUUUGUUCAAUGCAGGGAUUGGUGGAGUUGUAAUUGAAUAAUCCAUUAUCUUAUUCAGAAGUUUUAUCCUCCUUGCUUUUCCCUUUUACCUAUAACAUUGAAUGUGGAGGUUUUGCUCAGAAUGGAUGACGCGGUGGCGCUGACAGCUAGAGGAGACGAUGGUGGUUUGUGCAACGACAAUUAGCUUGCAUUGUUUAUGCGUGAUGGAAGCUUACCCAAGAGGGAGUAUGAGGAAGGCAUUGUGAAAAUCUUUCUUUUUUUUCUCUUUAAUUUUUAAUAUAUAGGAUUGCAAAUCCAGUCACAUUUGCAAUUGCAGCAGAAUGUGUUCAUAUCUCAGAAUGCCCUGUCCUUGUUAUAUCUGGUGCUAAGGACGUGUGGCAUCAAGUUAAGCAUCUGCUUUCAAAUUUCAUACAGUAUUUUGGUGAAAGAUUUUUGUUAAAUGUUAUAUUUUCCUUCAUUUGCAAGUUUUUCUAUUUUUUGGUGUGGUCACAUUAUUGCCUCUUCCAUCUUGCUUGAGUAAUUAUUUUGAAUUGCAUAUCACUGAUAACAAUCUGAUGUGUGCUACCUUGAUUUCACAUGAUGGUGUUACAAAGAAACUUGAUAGUAGUUUAUUUUCGGUGAACAUGCAAAUGGGAUUUUAAAUAUGAUGUGAAAAAAGGCAUAUUCUUGAAGGGAUAGCAUAAUUUGGGAAGGGAGAUUGGAAGAACAUUUCAACACAUGCUGUUAAGACAAGAACCAAGACUCAAGCUGCUAGUCACACCCAAAAAUAUUUUCUUCGUCUGCAAGCCUCAAAUAGAAAGGAAAAUGGAAAAAGCAAGAGCAUCUAUGACAUGACCUUGUAAUUGUAUUGAGUUUCUAAUGUUAAGCUUCAUAGAUAGAAAUUAUUAUGUAAAGUUCCAAGUUACAAUUCUGUUAAUAUUUGGUAUUAAGUAAAAGCUUCACUUGCGAUUUACAUUCAAUUUGACAGAUUUCUUUUCCAUCUAGUUAUUGAGUUAGCAAUAAAAUUUCUUGAUUGCUUUGAAGGGAAUCUCAUUCACGACCUCCAAUUUUCAAAGAACAAGUCUCUAUUCAUUUCAGAUCAAUUUGUACACAAAAGGCCAAGGGUUUGAGUAUAGAGACUAUGGAUUGCUGACAACACUUGAUCUUUCAUGUAACAACUUGUCAAGGGAAAUUCCUCCACAAGUUUUCCGUCUUGUUCAAUUGCAGACCUUGAACUUGUCCAGAAAUCAUUUCACAGGAAAGAUAUCAAGGGAGAUUGGGAGAAUGAAGAACUUGGGAGUCUCUUGAUCUAUCCAGCAUCAAACUCAAUGGAGAAAUUCCUGUUUCCAUUUCCUCUCUGUCUUUCUUGAAAUUCUUGAACUGUCAUACAAUGAUUUCAUGGGACAAAUCCCAAUUGGGACUCAGCUUCAGGGCUUCAGUGCUUCUAGCUUUGCUGGGAAUCCUAGGCUUUGUGGAGCUCCUUUACAAAUUAACUGCACAGGACAAAGUGGUAAUGUUCAUGUGUCAAAGCAACAUGGUGGAAGCAAUGAUGAUGUCUUUGAAACUGAGUCACUCUACCUUGGGAUGGUUGUUGGAUUUGCUGCGGGAUUAUGGUGGCCUCGUGGUUCUCUAUUCCUCAACAAGACAUGGAGGCACGCGUAUGGGUUCCUUAAUUAUGUUGCAGACGAAGUUCAUGUGUUAGUGCCAUUCAAGUUCAACAGCUUUAUUGGCAUGCAACCAAGUUCCUUAUGAGGUUUGCAAUAGCUGACUUAAAAGUUGACAUGAGAUGGGAGAAGCUACAAAAAGGAAUUGGAUUAGAGAUAGUUAAACAGUUAGCUUCAGCUGGAAUCAAGAUGGUGCUCACAACAAGAAAUGAAGAGAGGGGUCUCCAAGCACGGGAAACACUCAAAGCCUCAGGUCUUUCUCACCUUGUACUGUUUCAUCAGGUGGAUGUGGCUGAUUCAACAAGUGUAGUAGCUUCUCUAGUAGAUUUUAUCAAAUCUAAAUUUUGGAAACUUGAUAUUCA